rnacentral:rRNA from 1 species
AGUACCGUGAGGGAAAGGUGAAAAGUACCCCGGAAGGGGAGUGAAAGAGAACUUGAAACCGUGUGCUUACAAGUAGUCAGAGCCCGUUUAUGGGUGAUGGCGUGCCUUUUGUAGAAUGAACCGGCGAGUUACGAUCUGAUGCAAGGUUAAGCAGUGAAUGUGGAGCCGUAGCGAAAGCGAGUCUGAAUAGGGCGUUGAGUAUUUGGUCGUAGACCCGAAACCAGGUGAUCUACCCUUGGUCAGGUUAAAGUUCAGGUAACACUGAAUGGAGGACCGAACCGACUUACGUUGAAAAGUGAGCGGAUGAACUGAGGGUAGCGGAGAAAUUCCAAUCGAACUUGGAGAUAGCUGGUUCUCUCCGAAAUAGCUUUAGGGCUAGCCUCAAGUGAUGAUUAUUGGAGGUAGAGCACUGUUUGGACGAGGGGCCCCUCUCGGGUUACCGAAUUCAGACAAACUCCGAAUGCCAAUCAAUUUAACUUGGG